rnacentral:rRNA from 1 species
CCUACGGGGGGCAGCAGUGAGGAAUAUUGGUCAAUGGACGAGAGUCUGAACCAGCCAAGUAGCGUGAAGGAUGACUGCCCUAUGGGUUGUAAACUUCUUUUAUAUGGGAAUAAAAUGUUCCACGUGUGGGCUUUUGUAUGUACCAUAUGAAUAAGGAUCGGCUAACUCCGUGCCAGCAGCCGCGGUAAUACGGAGGAUCCGAGCGUUAUCCGGAUUUAUUGGGUUUAAAGGGAGCGUAGGUGGAUUGUUAAGUCAGUUGUGAAAGUUUGCGGCUCAACCGUAAAAUUGCAGUUGAAACUGGCAGUCUUGAGUACAGUAGAGGUGGGCGGAAUUCGUGGUGUAGCGGGGAAAGGCUUAGAGAUCACGAAGAACUCCGAUUGCGAAGGCAGCUCACUGGACUGCAACUGACACUGAGGCUCGAAAGUGUGGGUAUCAAACAGGAUGAGAUACCCGGGUAGUC